UUCCUCCCUCUGCUUCAACAAGCCCUAUGUCCCUCUGGCUUGAGCAAUCUGGAGGGACAUGGGGCUUGCUCAGGCAGCGGGGGAG